AGUAUCCACAUAGUGGGUGAUUAAUCAAGAGGCGCUUGCAAUGACUUCUGGUUAAUGGUUAUAAAUAUACUGUGUGUAAAACAUAUUUUAAUAAUGACGAUAAAUAAUAACGAUUACUUCUAUAAAGUGUGUGGCCGUUUUCAUUUCAAUUUGUUUUACUAAUGCAUACGCACACGUGUCAAACUUCCUCUUCUCUCUCUCUCUCUCUUUCUCUGGGUGUACACAAUUCUGGGCUCAUUUGAACGUUCCAGAGACCGACUUGCCUGUGUGUGUCAGUGUAAAAGAGAGUAUUCACCAGGAUAUGUGUGUUGCUUCCACAGAUGAAAGCUUUUACUGGACUUGUCCUACUGUUUACAUCGACUUAUGGUCUGGACUCCAUGUGUGAUGCUACUCAGGAUGCUGCAUGUCAACCCUGCAGAGAGGAGAGACGCAGGAACAUACAGAGUGGAGAUCACUGAGGAGGCAACAGGGAAAACAGUGGGAGAUCACACAGUACAGCUGAUUAUAGAAGCUCCCGUGUCUGAUGUGGACCUGUCAAUCAGCUGCUCAGCCAAUGGGGAGAGGAGUGUAAGGUGCUCCUCCAAUGGAGACAGUCCUCAGUUCAGCUGGUCUCUGGAUGGGAGGCCUCUGUGUGAAGCUGAUGUUGAUCUCAGUUCAGAUAACCAGACUCUCCUGAUGAGGGGGGAUGUGACUGGACAACUCACCUGCAGCGUCAGGAACCACGUCAGCAGCAAACACACCAGAGUGAUUUACAGUAAUCAUGAUUACCUCUGUAAGAUUUUGUAAAGAUUUUGCUAAUGACCUUUAAAUGCUUGAAUGGUCAAGCCCCCAGCUAUCUCUCUGACCUAUUACAUAAAUACUCCCUGUAAGAAAUCUCUGACUGCUGACUGUUCUCAAAACUAAAUGUAAAUGCUUUUGCUGCUACUACCCCCAAACUCUGGAAUAAACCCCACCCCACACAUUA